rnacentral:rRNA from 1 species
AGUGAACGCUGGCGGUAGGCCUAACACAUGCAAGUCGAACGGCAGCACAGUAAGAGCUUGCUCUUACGGGUGGCGAGUGGCGGACGGGUGAGGAAUACAUCGGAAUCUACUUUUUCGUGGGGGAUAACGUAGGGAAACUUACGCUAAUACCGCAUACGACCUACGGGUGAAAGCAGGGGAUCUUCGGACCUUGCGCGAUUGAAUGAGCCGAUGUCGGAUUAGCUAGUUGGCGGGGUAAAGGCCCACCAAGGCGACGAUCCGUAGCUGGUCUGAGAGGAUGAUCAGCCACACUGGAACUGAGACACGGUCCAGACUCCUACGGUAGGCAGCAGUGGGGAAUAUUGGACAAUGGGCGCAAGCCUGGUCCAGCCAUACCGCGUGGGUGGAGAAGGCCUUCGGGUUGUAAAGCCCUUUUGUUGGGAAAGAAAAGCAGCAGGUUAAUACCCCGCUGUUCUGACGGUACCCAAAGAAUAAGCACCGGCUAACUUCGUG